AUGUCUAGUAUAAGCAAUCUAUACCGUGAAACUGCGAAUGGCUCAUUAAAUCAGUUAUCGUUUAUUUGAUAGUACCUUACUACUUGGAUAACCGUGGUAAUUCUAGAGCUAAUACAUGCUAAAAACCUCGACUUCGGAAGGGGUGUAUUUAUUAGAUAAAAAACCAAUGCCCUUCGGGGCUCUCUGGUGAUUCAUAAUAACUUAACGAAUCGCAUGGCCUUGUGCCGGCGAUGGUUCAUUCAAAUUUCUGCCCUAUCAACUUUCGAUUGUAUGGUCUUGGCUUACAAUGGUUUCAACGGGUAACGGGGAAUUAGGGUUCUAUUCCGGAGAGGGAGCCUGAGAAACGGCUACCACAUCCAAGGAAGGCAGCAGGCGCGCAAAUUACCCAAUCCCGACACGGGGAGGUAGUGACAAUAAAUACUGAUACAGGGCUCUUUUGGGUCUUGUAAUUGGAAUGAGUACAAUUUAAAUCCCUUAACGAGGAACAAUUGGAGGGCAAGUCUGGUGCCAGCAGCCGCGGUAAUUCCAGCUCCAAUAGCGUAUAUUAAAGUUGUUGCAGUUAAAAAGCUCGUAGUUGAACCUUGGGCCUGGCUGGCCGGUCCGCCUCACCGCGUGCACUGGUCCGGCCGGGCCUUUCCUCCUGGGGAGCCGCAUGCCCUUCACUGGGUGUGCCGGGGAACCAGGACUUUUACUUUGAAAAAAUUAGAGUGUUCAAAGCAGGCCUAUGCUCGAAUACAUUAGCAUGGAAUAAUAGAAUAGGACGUGUGGUUCUAUUUUGUUGGUUUCUAGGACCGCCGUAAUGAUUAAUAGGGAUAGUCGGGGGCAUCAGUAUUCAAUUGUCAGAGGUGAAAUUCUUGGAUUUAUUGAAGACUAACUACUGCGAAAGCAUUUGCCAAGGAUGUUUUCAUUAAUCAGUGAACGAAAGUUAGGGGAUCGAAGACGAUCAGAUACCGUCGUAGUCUUAACCAUAAACUAUGCCGACUAGGGAU
rnacentral:rRNA from 1 species